rnacentral:tRNA from 1 species
UGACAGGUAACUCAGUUGGUCAGAGUGCCGUUCUGUUAAAUCGGAAGCCGCGGGUUCGAGUCCCGCCCUGUCAGCCA